rnacentral:rRNA from 1 species
GCUACCAUGCAGUCGGACGGUAGCACAAAGGACCUGGCUCCUUGGGUGACGAGUGGCAGACGGGAGAGUAGUGUGGGGAGAUCUGCCCGAUAGAGGGAGAUAACCUGUGGAAACGGGGGCUAAUACCGCAAAACCUCACAAGACCAAAGAGGGAGACCUUCGGCCCUCUCUCUAUCAGAAGAACCCAUAUGGGAUUAUCUAAUGCGCGGGGUAGUGGCCCCCCUACGACAAUAUCCCUAUCUGGUCUGAGAAGAAGACCACCCACUGUGGAACUGACACACGGCCCACACUCCUACGGGAGGCAGCUGUGGGGAAUAUUGCACAGUGGGCGCACCCCUGAUGCCCCCGUGCCGCGUGUAUGAAAAGGGUCUUCGGGUUGUAAAGUAUUUUCCGCGGAGAAGAGGGAGAUGGGGUUAAUACCCGUGUCUAGUGACUUUACCCGCAAAAGAAGCCCCGGCUAUCUCCGUGCCCGCCCCCGCGGUAAUACAGAGGGUGCACGCGUUUCUCAAAUUUAGUGGGCGUAAAGCGCACGCGCGCGGUCUGUUAUCUCAUAUGUGAACUCCCCGGUCUUACCCUGGAAACUGCUUUUGAAAGUGGCGCGCUUGACUCGUGUAGAGGGGGGUAGAAUUCCGUGUGUAGCGGUGAAGUGCAUAGAUAUCUGGAAGUACAGGUGUGGCGAGCGCCGCCCUGUGGACAGACACUGACUCUCGUGUGCGAGCGCGUGGAGAGCACACGAGAUUAUACACUGUGGUACUACACGGUAUACAAUAUGUCGA